GUGCUCACUUUAGCAGCACAUAGACUAAAAUUGGAACCCUACAGCAAAGAUUUGCUUGGCCCUUACCGAAGGAUGACACGAAAAUUCUGAAGUCUUCCAUAUUAAA
ensembl:snRNA U6 U6 spliceosomal RNA